UACGUAGGGUCCGAGCGUUGUCCGGAAUUAUUGGGCGUAAAGGGCUCGUAGGCGGCCAACUAAGUCAGACGUGAAAUCCCCCGGCUUAACCAGGGAACUGCGUCUGAUACUGGAUGGCUUGAGUUUGGGAGAGGGAUGCGGAAUUCCAGGUGUAGCGGUGAAAUGCGCAGAUAUCAGGAGGAACACCGGUGGCGAAGGCGGUUCUCUGGGCAUUACCUGACGCUGAGGAGCGAAAGUGUGGGGAGCGAACAGG
rnacentral:rRNA from 1 species